rnacentral:rRNA from 1 species
UAACAGGAUUCCCUAGUACUGCGAGUGAAGCGGGAAAAGCUCAAAUUUAAAAUCUGGCGGUCUUUGGCCGUCCGAGUUGUAGUCUGGAGAAGCGUUUUCCGCGUUGGACCGUGUACAAGUCUCUUGGAACAGAGCGUCAUAGAGGGUGAGAAUCCCGUCUUUGACACGGACUACCAAUGCUUUGUGAUGCGCUCUCAAAGAGUCGCGUUGUUUGGGAAUGCAGCGCAAAAUGGGAGGUGAAUUCCUUCUAAAGCUAAAUAUUGGCGAGAGACCGAUAGCGAACAAGUACCGUGAGGGAAAGAUGAAAAGCACUUUGGAAAGAGAGUUAAACAGUACGUGAAAUUGCUGAAAGGGAAACGCUUGAAGUCAGUCGCGUCGUCCGGAACUCAGCCUUGCUUCGGCUUGGUGCACUUUCCGGAUGACGGGCCAGCAUCGAUUUUGACCGCUGGAAAAGGGCUGGAGGAAUGUGGCACCUUCGGGUGUGUUAUAGCCUUCAGUCGCAUACAGCGGUUGGGAUCGAGGAACGCAGCACGCCUUAUGGCUGGGGUUCGCCCACAUUCGUGCUUAGGAUGCUGGCAUAAUGGCUUUAAACGACCCGUCUUGAAACACGGACCAAGGAGUCUAACAUGCCUGCGAGUGUUUGGGUGGAAAACCCGAGCGCGUAAUGAAAGUGAAAGUUGAGACCUCUGUCGUGGAGGGCAUCGACGCCCGGACCUGAAGUUUUCUGACGGAUCCGCGGUAGAGCAUGUAUGUUGGGACCCGAAAGAUGGUGAACUAUGCCUGAAUAGGGUGAAGCCAGAGGGAAACUCUGGGUGGAGGCUCGUAGCGAUUCUGACGUGCAAAUCGAUCGUCAAAUUUGGGUAUAGGGGGCGAAAGGACUAAUCGAACCAUNCUAGUAGCUGGGUUCCUGCCGAAGUUUCCCCUCAGGAAA